rnacentral:lncRNA from 1 species
UUAGAAGUGCACUUGCAGUGCAUGUGCCAAUCCCUAAUAAAACUCGUCCAGAUUUCUCUGUUUCUUUUUCCCAAUGCUAGCUCCAUCUCUCUUGCUUUCUUACGACCUUAAUCCCUCAUAAAACUCGCCCAGAUUUCUCUUUUUUUUCCCCCCCAAUGCUAGCCCCAUCUCUCUUGCUUUCUGGUGACCUUUGCCCUAGAUCUUCCCUCCAUUCCUCCUCCUAUCAUGCUAGAAUAAUGACCGCUAAACUGAUGUAUUGGACCAUAAUAUGUCAGUUCUGCUAGAAUAAUGAACCCAGACUAUUGUGAUGUCAGCUAAAAUUUUAGCACAAGUGGCAAGUAUUUGAAUGAUCUGCACUACUCUUCUUGAUUUGUACUAUAUGUUAAUUAUACUUGUUGAUCUGCACUACACCUCUUUGUCAAUUAUACUUCUUCUUGAUCUGCACUAUGCCUCUAUUGUUGGAGUAAUGUGUCAAGUAUACUAGAAUAAUGACCACUAAAUUGAUGUGUCAGACCCAUGGUUUGCCAAAAUGGUAUUGGAGGUCGUACCAUCUAGCACCUGAUUUGAUCGUACCCAUACAUACCUUUCUGACUUGUGGCUUAUUGGAACCAGAGGGAGGG